GAUGAACGCUAGCGGGAGGCCUAACACAUGCAAGCCGAGCGGUAUUGUUUCUUCGGAAAUGAGAGAGCGGCGUACGGGUGCGGAACACGUGUGCAACCUGCCUUUAUCUGGGGGAUAGCCUUUCGAAAGGAAGAUUAAUACUCCAUAAUAUAUUGAUUGGCAUCAAUUAAUAUUGAAAGCUCCGGCGGAUAGAGAUGGGCACGCGCAAGAUUAGCUAGUUGGUGAGGUAACGGCUCACCAAGGCGAUGAUCUUUAGGGGACCUGAGAGGGUGAUCCCCCACACGAGAACUGAGACACGGACCAGACUCCUACGAGAGGCAGCAGUGAGGAAUAUUGGUCAAUGGGUGCAAGCCUGAACCAGCCAUCCCGCGUGAAGGACGACUGCCCUAUGGGUUGUAAACUUCUUUUGUAUAGGGAUAAACCUACCCUCGUGAGGGUAGCUGAAGGUACUAUACGAAUAAGCACCGGCUAACUCCGUGCCAGCCGCCGCCGUAACAC
rnacentral:rRNA from 1 species